GUCCUUUUGUUUUGGAUUUAAGGUCUAGUCUGCCCACUGAGUAAUUAAAGGGCCGCGGUACUUUGACCGUGCUAAGGUAGCAUAAUCACUAGUUUUUUAAUUGAAAGCUUGUAUGAAUGGCUGAAUAAGAAAAUAACUGUCUCUAUUUAAUUUUUUAUGAAUUUUAUUUUUAAGUAAAAAAGCUUAAAUUUUUUUAAAAGACGAGAAGACCCUAUAGAGUUUUAUAAAUUGAAAUUUAUGGGUUUUUAGAAUUAUGAUUAUUAUAUAUUGAAAUUUAUUUGAUUGGGGUGAUUGAAAAAUUUGAUAAACUUUUUUUGAAUAGUACCAUUGAUUUAUGAAUAUUUGAUCUUUUAUUUAUGAUUAUAAGAUUAAAUUACCUUAGGGAUAACAGCGUAAUUUUUUUAGAGAGUUCAAAUCGAAAGAAAAGAUUGCGACCUCGAUGUUGGAUUAAAAUUAAUUUUUGGUGCAGAAGUUAAAAAUUUUAGGUCUGUUCGACCUUUAAAAUUUUACAUGA
rnacentral:rRNA from 1 species